rnacentral:rRNA from 1 species
UACGAAGGGGGCUAGCGUUGUUCGGAAUUACUGGGCGUAAAGCGCACGUAGGCGGAUCGAUCAGUCAGGGGUGAAAUCCCAGGGCUCAACCCUGGAACUGCCUUUGAUACUGUCGAUCUGGAGUAUGGAAGAGGUGAGUGGAAUUCCGAGUGUAGAGGUGAAAUUCGUAGAUAUUCGGAGGAACACCAGUGGCGAAGGCGGCUCACUGGUCCAUUGCUGACGCUGAGGUGCGAAAGCGUGGGGAGCAAACAGG